GCCCCAAAAUUCACAAACAAAAUUAUGAUAAACUCACUACCAUUUUUCAGACAGAAGAGUCCAUUUUCAUGUAACCCCUGCCAAAAUAGGCUUUUCAUGUCUUUUAUGGAGGACUGGAAUUAUAAAUUGCAUUCUGGGGUAUCAAAAAAAUUA